UUUAAAAUCAAUUUGAGUUCUUAAUUCAUUUUGGUGGUGUUUGUUAUUUACAAGGCUUGUCUCGGCGACUUCUGCUGGUUAGUGGUAACAUUGAUUACGUUUAAACGUUGCACUAACCGGUAGUGGGACGCGGUGAUGACGCAUGCAACACAUUAAAGUAAAAGCCUGUUAAGAUUGUGUGUGAAAAAAUGUCGUUAUCUUUUUUUUGAAUUCGAAUCAACGUUUAUGUGCCGACCUUGAGCAGCCAAUUGCAUAGUAGCUUUAUUUCUUUGCACUGGCCUGCCCAGGGGCGCUGUGUAGACCAUCGACGUCAUGACAACUAAACGUUAUUUUAACCUUACGAUUCUACAGAAAAAUUUUCACAUUUGGGAUGUUUUGCUCGAAAUAGAAAAUGUUCGCAACAACAACGUUCGUCAUUGACUUCGAAACGCCCAGUUGCUUUGUGGCAUCAAGACUUCAUUGCACUGUACGGUUCGAGGCGAAUGACGAGAAACGUGAGAAAACUACUAUACUCGCCAUUUUGUUUUAUUCAUUUUCUUACUGUAAUUUUUGUGGAAAUCAAUACAAACCUUGCAUGCUAUUCAUUUAUUGUUAUCGUCAGCUUUUUUCGCAUUGUUUCAAAAGUCUUAAAACUAAGUUUGGGUCGUUGGUAAAGUUGCAAGGUUUUGAAAAGGUGAAGUGUCGAUUGUCGACAUUGAGCUUUUGCAAGGCCGCGAUGUUGCUGAAUAAUAAACUCGAAAUAAUUUUGGUUGAAAAGAGUUUACUGCGCAUGUCAUGAUUAUUUGGGGUGUUCUUAUCCUCCCUUGGCAUAAGCUUCCACGUUUGUGUAAAUCUUCUUACCAGCGUGCUUCCAUCGAAGGGUUUGCCAGUCGCGUUGUUCAUCGUCGUAGGGAACAGACGUCCAUUUUUGUUGCUCUCACAGUGUGCCCUAAUUCAUUGCUGGAAUUGUUUUUGCUGCUUGCGAGUACGACGAGUGUGAAUCGGUUAUUGACGUUGCAAGUAAUUUGCUCUACAUAGUGCUCUCGCGUUGCAUGGGAAUCCAAUCUGGUCCUGAUAGUCCGUUGGGAAUAAG